UACAGAGGGUGCGAGCGUUAAUCGGAGUUACUGGGCGUAAAGGGCGCGUAGGCGGUGAGAUGAGUGUGAUGUGAAAGCCCCGGGCUUAACCUGGGAAGUGCAUCGCAAACGAUCUGACUGGAGUAGAUGAGAGGGUGGCGGAAUUUCCGGUGUAGCGGUGAAAUUCGUAGAUAUCGGGAGGAACACCGGUGGCGAAGGCGGCGAUCUGGGUCGAUACUGACGCUGAGGUGCGAAAGCGUGGGGAGCAAACAGG
rnacentral:rRNA from 1 species